CCCUUAGAUGUCCGGGGCUGCACGCGCGCUACACUGAAGGAAUCAGCGUGCUAAAACCAUUGUCGAAAGGCAUUGGUAAACCCAUUAAAAUCCUACGUGAUUGGGAUCGGGAAUUGCAAUUAUUUCCCUUGAACGAGGAGUUCCCAGUAAGUGUGGGUCAUAAGCUCGCGUUGAUUACGUCCCUGCCCUUUGUACACACCGCCCGUCGCUGCCCGGGACUGAGCCGUUUCGAGAAAAGCGGGGACUGCUGCUGUCGGGGCUUUCGGGCCUUGGCUUCGGUGGAAACCGCUUUAAUCGCAGUGGCUUGAACCGGGCAAAAGUCGUANCA
rnacentral:rRNA from 1 species